AGGUCCUCCAGAGGAAAAGCCCCUCCCUCCCCUUCCUGCAAGCGGGGGGGGGGGGUUGCUUUCCUCUGCUGCAAAUGCUGCAUUGUUCUCUUCCACGGGAAUCUGAGGAGGCCAGCCAAGCAGAUCAAGCCAAGCUUUAUGAGGAGCUGGGUCCCCUGUAGUCUGUCCCAGAGUCUGGUUCUGGAGACUGUAUCAAAGGCUGCUUUUAGAUCAACAAAGGCAGUGUAUAGUGAGGCCGGCCUUUAGGAGAGCCAUGUCACCUGGGCGCAGGAUUCCAACCCAUGGCUUCAAGCUACAAGAAAGGAGAUUCAGAUUCAACACACGUAGUCAUUUUUCACUAGCAACCAAUGACUCCCUUGUCAAUCAGUUCUGAUUUCAUGCAUUGACUGGAAGGAAGGAGCAACCAGGCUGAUUCACCUCACAUUAAUCUCUUCGCUUGCCUCCACAUUUCCACAAUCUCCCUUCUAGAGGCCUCCAUCUCCUCCUCCUCCUCCUCCUCCUCCUCCUUUUUUGAAAGAUAGCUCAGAGUCUGGGCUGUGGUGCAGUCCUACCCUGG